rnacentral:rRNA from 1 species
UCUUCGGAGAGUUUGAUCCUGGCUCAGGACGAACGCUGGCGGCGUGCCUAAUACAUGCAAGUCGAGCGAAUCGAUGGGAGCUUGCUCCCUGAGAUUAGCGGCGGACGGGUGAGUAACACGUGGGCAACCUGCCUAUAAGACUGGGAUAACUUCGGGAAACCGGAGCUAAUACCGGAUACGUUCUUUUCUC